rnacentral:rRNA from 1 species
AUACGGAGGACGCGAGCGUUAUCCGGAUUCAUUGGGUUUAAAGGGUGCGCAGGCGGCCGUGCAAGUCAGCGGUGAAAGCCCGGGGCUCAACCCCGGAAGUGCCGUUGAUACUGCAUGGCUGGAAUGCGGUCGAGGCGGGCGGAACGGGGCGUGGAGCGGUGGAAUGCGUAGAUAUGCCACAGAAACCCGAUAGCGGAGGAAGCUCGCCAGGCCUGCAUUGACGAUCGGGCACGAAAGCGUGGGGAUCGAACAGGAUUAGAUACCCUGGUAGUCCACGCCGUAAACGAUGGGCGCUCGUCGUCGGCGGCAGACAGUCGGCGGCCAAGCGAAAGCGAUAAGCGCCCCACCUGGGGAGUACGGUCGCAAGGCUGAAACUCAAAGGAAUUGAUGGGG